rfam:Gossypium raimondii Chr05_contig_1267, whole genome shotgun sequence.
AAUAGGAGAAUGACAAAUCAGAUUUUUUUCUCUUGAUUUUUAGCUUUUUCCUCCUUAAAAAAUUCAAAUCCAACUAAAAAUGCUAAAAACCAAGAGGAAAAAUAUGAUUUGUUAUUCUCUUAUU